rnacentral:rRNA from 1 species
UACGAGGGGGGCGAGCGUUGUUCGGAAUUAUUGGGCGUAAAGGGUGCGUAGGCGGUUCCGCAAGUCCUGUGUGAAAUCUUCGGGCUCAACUCGAAGUCUGCACGGGAAACUGCGGGGCUUGAGUGUGGGAGAGGUGAGUGGAAUUCCUGGUGUAGCGGUGAAAUGCGUAGAUAUCAGGAGGAACACCUGUGGCGAAAGCGGCUCACUGGACCAUAACUGACGCUGAUGCACGAAAGCUAGGGGAGCAAACAGG